UUUUUUACUUCUUCUUCCUCCAUCCUUCCGUUUUCAAUUUCUUCUUCUUACUUCACUAAGCUCUUCCUUUCCUUGGCUCGUGGUGGUUUGUUACCUGCAUUAUCUCGGUGGUUUGUUACCUGCAUUGCCUUCAUCGUGGUGGUGAGUAUUGCGGUGGCAACGGCAGUCAAAAUACGGAUCCAUAUAGCUUAUACACAGAUUGAUUGACAAUCAAUGUGAACUUUACGUCAGAUUGUACCAAUUGUCAAUCCGUAUAUAUAAGCUUUCCCGUGUCAUUUUCAUUCCAACUUCCACUUCUAUGCUUUCAAUCUCUCACUCUUCUCUUUUCCGUCUUCAUUCAGCUGCAAGCAUCACCACCCUCCUCAAAGCCAGCAAGAAAAGUGAGCACCUGAAACAAAUGCAAGCGUGCGUCAUCCAUCACGCCCUCGAGCAAGACCACUUCCUCGUUUCCCUCUUCAUUUCCUGCGCCCACACCCUCCUCUCCACUUUCUCCUAUGCCUUUUCCAUCUUCUACCACGUUCUCGCCCUUCCCACCUUCCUCUGGAACACUCUCGUCAAAUCCCACUGCCAAAAGAAUCUCUUUUCCCACACCCUCUCCGUCUUCGCUCGCAUGAAGGCACAUGGGGAACUCCCCUAUAGCUUCACCUACCCUUUUGUCAUUAAGGCCUAUUCUGGUGCAUGCAAGGUAAGGGAGGGAAAAUUGCUUCAUGGUUUCGCGUUUCUGUGCAGCAUUGACCAUGAUCUCUACAAGGGCACCAUUUUGAUCAACAUGUAUAGGAAAUGCAGGGAUAUUGCUGAUGCUUGUAAGGUGUUUCAUGGGAUGUCUGUAGGAAUGUGAUUUCCUGGACUACUAUGCUCAUAAGGUGUUUGACGCAAUGCCUGGGAAGAAUGUUGUUUCUUUCACCACCAUGAUUGAUGGGUAUGCCAAGGCGGGUGACAUGACGACAGUGAGGUUCUUGUUUGAUCCUUCUCUGGAGAAGGAUGUUGUUGCUUGGUCUGCUUUGAUAUAUGAUUGACAAUCCGAAUAGCCUAUACAGAUUGACAAUCCAUGUGAGCUAUAGGGAAUCCGUAUAGUUCACAUAGAUUAUCAAUCCAUAUAGGCUAUACGGAUUGAUAUUUCGCAGAUAUGUAGAAAACUUACCUUCGGACUGAUGUUGCCACCACAACACCCACCAAGAGGACGAUGAAGGCAAUGCAAGUAACAAUCCAUCACGAGCCAAGGGAAGGAGGACCUCAGUGAAGUAAAAAGAAGAAAUUGAAAAGGGAAGAAAGGAAAAAGAAGAAGUAAAAGAGGGCAACAUUAGAGUUAAUAAAAAAUUGAAUGUUGUAGGAAGAAAAACAGGAUUACUACUCAAAUAAAAAGAAGCAGGAUAACUCAUCUAGAAUCAGAGAUGGGUGGCAAAAGGACACUCACAGGAGUCAUAUUGCAGAUUCUUUCCCAAAUAAUGCAUUUUCAGAUCGAUAUAAUCCUUCACAAUCUGUUGGGAUCUGUGAGGAUGAUAUCUCCUCGGACUCUAAAUAUAUCAAGUCGAUCAGAUAAAUUUUACGACAAGGAAAUUUAUUAGCAUUGUCUUGGUCAGAACUGUGAAGACACUACACCUGCUGUGGCUUGUGGGUUUCUUCCUUGUUUAGUAGAAGAGAUCCAGCGGUGAUGAAGUGACUUCAACAAAAAUGAUAUCAAGUUCUGAUAAGUAAACCCUUGUGCAUGUCCAGAUACAAAGAGGAGGGUGGGUACGAGGGAAACGAGUGUGACAACUAUAGCCUGGCCUAGUAUAUGAUUUACUUAAAUUGUGCAAAUUGCAAACUCGUUUUCCUUUUGUGUUUUUGCCAUCACUUUUAAUGACUAUCAUGAAAUAAUUUGAUUACUGGGUUGUAUAAUUAAAUUAAUAAGGCAUUAAAUUGUAAUGCAGUACAAUUUUAUGGAAUAAUCUCAGUUUAGCGCAAAGGCUA